ACAUGUGAACUCCUGGGCCAGCCACCCCACCUGAGUUUUGCUGCGGGGAGGAGGAAGUGCCACAGCGAUGCCACCUUAUUCUCCUUGGGAAGACCAGCUGGCACGACGUAUUAUGGGGCAGAUAUUUAUAACUCAUAACAGGAGGACGCUUGACCGAGGAAGGACAGCCAGAGCCUGCUGAAUCUGGCCAAAGGGGGCCCAUCUAGUCCAGCAUCCUGUUCUCACAGCAGCCCACCAGAUGCCUGUGGGAAACCAGCAAGCAGGAUCCGAGCACAAGAGCCUUGCCCCCUCCUGUGGUUCCGGCAAUCUCAGAAGCAUUGCCGCCUCUUGAUUGUGCAGACAGAGCUGAGACAUCAUGGCUUGCAGCCAUUGACAGCAGGGGGAGGUUGUGUAUUUCGGGAAGGAAACCAGCGGCAAGGCCAGAGACUAUGGGAGUGACGCCAAAUAUCACCAGGGGCAAGAAGGGCUGGAAGUCACCGGCCGUCAGCACCCCUGGGGCCACGAUGCCAC